AUUUGUUUCAAAUAAAUUUAACAGAUCACUUCUAUUUGUCAGCAAUUUACAUUUAUUUAUAAAUAAAAAACCAAAAUUUUUUUAUUCAUAAAACUUGUCAUGUCUCCAAUCCUGGGUAUUGAACUACUGGAGAAAAACUGGUGUUUUCAUUCAUCCAUUCAACUGCUUUUGGUGAACAUCCCAAAAUGUCAUGUUUGAUUUUGCUUUCAGAUUCUCACAGAAUCUGUUCUAAGGAGAUCUGGAUAAAAUUAAAAUAACCAUUAGAUGAGAGGGUUGUUUUACUGUGAUUAAGUAAAGCAGAGCAGGCUUUUGCUGCAGCUCAGAAGAACAAGAAUCAAUCCCCUGCUUGUUUCAGCUCUGUGCCCGUUCAUAUCUCUGGAUACUUAUGAAAAGCAUUACUCAUAAAUCAGAGAAUACCCUAACCCUUUUGCUCAGUACACAUGCAUUUGAGAUCUGUAUAGCUUAAGCAUCUCUGUGCUUGGCAGAACAACUGGAGGAGCUUGCAAGUGUAGCAGAUAGAAAAAUAGCUAAACACAGGGACUGGAGUGCACUCAUGGCUGUCACAGACCCAAACCUGUGAUGUGGUCACUGUAAAAAACAGGAGAGAAAGGCCCCCUUCUAAAAUUAAACAAAACAGAACAAGUGUGAACUGAAGUGAUAAAUUACAGAAGACUUCAUGUGGAGAACUCAAAUAAAUCUCUAAAUAUUUUUAGCACACUCACUUUUCUUUCAAUAGCUCACCAGGAGGUUCAGUGGUCUCACCUGGCAUCUUAUUAAUCCUGCACUGAUUGGUGAGCAUGCAGGAAUGGAGCAGCACUGGCAUCUGGGUUAAUCACAACUUCUAGGAAAUCGUGAAAAUGACACAGGAGACACUUCACACAUGGCCCUGCUCUGUAUCUUGUCUAUAUUUGGGAUUAAGGAGAAUUAUUAUCAUGUGGUCCUAAAGCAGCUUUUUGAAGUCUUGAGUACACUCUCCUGUCAGGUGAGUACUGAUUAUAUAUUAUAGAAAAAAAUGGUUUUAAAAAUAGAUCCAAGAGUGAGAAAAAUCUGAAGGCUUGAGAUGAACUGUUAGGAGAAACAAGACUGGGAGGAAUUUGCUGUAAGAGAAAAAUCCCAGUUCCCAAGGAGGAUGCUCAAGUGGAUAAUGCUCUUUAUUCUGAAUGGAAGCAGCUGUGGCCCAAGAG
rnacentral:lncRNA from 1 species